rnacentral:rRNA from 1 species
AUGCCUCCCGGAGGCCGCCGAGAAAAGUACACAAGAGAACAUGAACAUUCCACCGCAGCCGGGGAGCACCCGCACUCGACAACGACACCUCCAAGAGGGAAAUGGCACACCGCGCCACGUCACCGCUUCCGCCGAAACCAAAAAAAUUCCGGCCUCCGAGUAAUAGAAAACAAGAACCGCACUAGACUGAAGUGGGUGUCUGAAUUAUUCAUGAGCGGCACAAGAAGAUGGGAUGAAAAUUUAAUCAGGCACCUGUUCUAUCACCAUGAUGCCGAGGAGAUCCUAAAUUUACGUAUUCAGUGUGCCGGAGAGGGUGAUCUAAUCGCUUGGCAUUAUGAGAAAAAUUGUAUGUUUUCUGUUAAAAGUGCGUACAGACUGGCCUUAAAUCUUAAAGAUUUUAAGGACGAGGCAGGAAUAUCUAGCUCUAUGGAUAUAGAGGAGAGACGGGUGUGGGAUGUUAUUUGGAAGGCCAAAGUUCCUCAAAAAAUUAAAAAAAUUGCAUGGCGAGCCGCGUCCAAUAGUUUGGCGACCCAGGUAAACAGAGUUGCUCAUCAUCAAACGGUGUCAUUACGAGAGCAAGUUAUGUUCAUGUUCUGGAGAGCUUGGCACCCGAGGAAUGAUCUGAUCUUUGGAAAGGGGAAAGAAUCAUUAUCUAACUCUGUUAUCUUUGUGGGAAACUACUGGAACUCCUUUACGACAGCAAAUACUUGUGUGCAAGUGGAUUUGAGCAACAAAGGUAAGGGGGUGAUCGACAAUGGAAGGUAUGUAACUCAACCAGAGUUUGGUCGUCGAGUCUGGGAGCCCCCGGAUCCUGACUACAUUAAGACUAAUGUGGAUGCUAGUUUCGUGGACGGUAUGAGAUCUGCCAGUGUUAGGGUUGUGGCCAGGAAUAACCUAGGCGAAGUCUUGGCUUCAUUAUGGGAUUUUAUCCGCUUAUGUACUAGUGUGGAUGAAGCGGAACUGCAUGCGGCCCUUGCCGGGUUAUACAUCGGUAUUACUUUUCAUAUACCAAUUAUUCUGGAAACUGAUUGUGCUUUUCUUACAUCCUUUCUGGCCAAAGAUUCCAUUGACAGGUCUCCUCUUAGGGAUCUCAAAAAGGAGGCGUCGAGCGUAUCAAGACUUAUGAGGAAUUAA